rnacentral:tRNA from 1 species
GUAGCUCAGCUGGUUAGAGCGCACCCCUGAUAAGGGUGAGGUCGGUGGUUCGAGUCCACUC